rnacentral:rRNA from 1 species
UUUAAGGUCUAACCUGCCCAAUGAGUUUUAAAUGGCUGCGGUAAUUUGACCGUGCAAAGGUAGCAUAGUCAUUAGUUUUUUAAUUGAAAGCUGGAAUGAAUGGUUGGACGAGAAGAGAACUGUCUCAAUUUAAGUUAAUUAGAAUUUUAUUUUUAAGUUAAAAAGCUUAGAUGUAGUUAAAAGACGAGAAGACCCUAUAGAGUUUUAUAUUUUUUAUUUUAGUAGAAGUUAUUUAUUUUUAUUAAUUUAAUAAGUAUUUUGUUGGGGUGAUGAGAAAAUUUAAUUAACUUUUGUUUGUAUAUUACAUUUAUUAUUGGAAAUUUGAUCCAUUGUUUAUGAUUAUAAGAUAAAAUUACCUUAGGGAUAACAGCGUAAUUUUUUUUGAGAGUUCUUAUUGAAAAAACAGUUUGCGACCUCGAUGUUGGAUUAAAAUUUACUUUUGGUGUAGGAGCUAUAGAGUUAGGUCUGUUCGACCUUUAGAAUUUUACAUGAUCUGAGUUUAAACCGGUGUGAGCCAGGUUGGUUUCUAUCUUUAAUGUUUUAAUAUAUUUUAGUACGAAAGGAUUUGAUAUGUGUAAUAUUUAUUUUUAUUUGAAUAGUAUUA